CAAAAGACUAUGAAGAGAAGAGUAAAUCAGAUUGGUAGUUACAGAGAGCCGCAGAUGGUGAGAAAGCGGUACGGAUUUUUGAUUGAAGAACAUCUCAGAGUUGCUAACCGAAAGCCUUGAGUGAGUAGACUUAGUCGGAGCCAGACCGUUAUAUCUGGUAGAUAUCGACAGCAUUUAUUGUCCGUAUCGAAUGAGGAGGAUUCAUUAAGUGAAUCAAUCUGGGUGGUACCGCGAAAAGUCUAUUAACCUUUCGUCCCUGUA
rnacentral:ncRNA from 1 species